AUCGCGGGUUCGUGGAAGAACCCUUUUGACUUGUAAUUGAGAUUGGUUGAUAGUGGUUUGCUAAUAAGGGCUUGAUGGUGACUAGCUUAUAUUGGGGUGAGACCGUUGACUUCACCUAGAUGUAGAUUUAUUAAAGUUAAGACUUCCGCUGCAAUAGAUUAGAAUUAUGGUUUGUUAUAGAAGUGUAUUAAUUAAUUACAUUUUCUUUUAGUUGUAAUAGUUAAUAAUUAAUUUAUGUAUUAGUAGUAGUACCUUUCGCCUUGCUGUUA